GCUGUAGAAUUAUCAGCAUAAUGUGGAUUGAGAGAUUAUGAGAUUGUGAGGGCAUUGAUUCGAGCGUGGUGGCUUUCACUGCGCAUCUGUUGGCGUGAAGCCGCUUUCGCGCGGGCUGGAGUGUUUUAGAAAGGGAAGGUGUGACGUGUGAUGGAUGUGAUCCGAGGUUCGGAAGAGUGUUAAGAGGAGAGACUGUUUCGUAAACUCGACACUGGAGUUUUUUGGAAGUUUUGUGGUGGAGAAACAGUUGUAUUGGUUGUGUGGCGGGGGAAUGCUUAUUGAGGGAGUGAAUGAUUUGCCUGUCAAAUUUUCGCCUAGGGUUGGUACAUCGCCAAUUACUCUGGUUCCUGACUCCACUUAUCAGGUCUUUUGCCAGUGAAGGAAGAGGAUGCUAGACAGCUGAAAGGACAGCGUUCGAGAAUUAGUUCACAGGCUCGGGUGAUGUUGCUGUUUUCCAAAUCACACCAUGAAAGAUUCAGAUGAAAGCAGGUUCAGUGACCGCUUCGGGAUCAUUUGCACUUUACUCUAGCAGAGGCAAGAAUCCUUUAUGUUGGUUGACUGUUCGCAAAAUCGUCGAAGUGGAAAGACAUACGAGUUUGGGAUUCUGGACUCUCCUGACGGAGAACAGUUCUCAUCUGGAAAUCUGCUUCCAGCGGCAUGCUAGAAUUGCGAUUGUGCAAAAGCCAGAUUAAGGUAGGAAUAUUGAUGGGAAAAGUAGGUCGGGGAAGUGAUAAAAACAAUUCUGGUUGUUUUGCGAGCUUGGAGGUUUCGUAGGUCGUGUGGGUGGAUCACGGGAAAAUCUUAUGGCUACGCUACUAAAGCUAGUUGAGGUUACUUGGGGUUAGGAAUGGCUUGUUCUGGGGAACUUGAGCAAGAUGGAGCCUCAGAGGAUGGGAAAAAGAGGCUAGAUUUCUCGUUUAUUUCGAAUCGUCUCGCUGAUGAGCUCUGACAACAAGUAGGAGGAUUAUAAGGGUGGCUGUUAAAGUGCUUUACAUAAUCUUCUUCAACAGAAUGAUGGAACAAUUAGUGAACUUCGUGAUACGGCCUCCAAGAGCAGAUUAUAGUCCAUCUUUUGACUUACUUUCGCAAGAAUUUCUUCUCAAAAGUCGGAAGUUCACGCGGAAAGACCUUCAGGUUUUGAAUAGCAGAGGGCAUGUACUACAAUGUAGUCACUACACUCCCCUGUCUCCGCUCGAAGAUGAACCACUUCCUUGCGUUAUCUACUGUCAUGGCAACAGUGGCUGCCGAGCUGAUGCAAAUGAAGCAGCCAUUGUACUCCUGCCAUGUAAUAUAACGGUUUUUACGUUAGACUUCUCAGGCUCAGGUUUAUCUGAUGGCAACUAUGUCAGCUUGGGCUGGAAUGAGAAGGAUGAUUUAAAAGCGGUUGUAAAUCAUUUGCGGACUGACGAAAAAGUAUCUCGUAUUGGUCUAUGGGGUCGAUCUAUGGGGGCUGUCACCUGCCUUAUGUAUGGAGCUCAAGACCCAUCCAUAGCUUGCAUGGUCCUGGACAGCCCUUUUGCAAAUCUCAACAACCUCAUGAUGGAACUUGUUGAUGUGUACAAGAUUCGCCUUCCAAAGUUCACGGUAAAGGUGGCUGUGCAAUACAUGCGGAAGGCCAUACAAAAGAAGGCCCAUUUUGACAUCAUGGACCUUGACGCAGUACCGGUGGCCAAGAAAUGUUUUAUUCCGGCUCUUUUUGGGCAUGCAACAGACGACGCCUUCAUACAUUCUCGUCACUCUGAAAUUAUUUUUAAGGAUUAUAUAGGUGACAAGAACAUAAUCAAGUUUGAUGGUGACCAUAAUUCCCCACGGCCUCAGUUCUACUAUGAUUCCAUCGCGAUCUUUCUCUAUAACGUUUUGCGACCUCCUGACGCACUAGUCGUUAUUCCAGAAGCUGUACCUGAACUACAGUUCUAUGAUGAUGCACUGGAUCUUAAUGAUGUAGAUGAGGAUACCCUGUUUGAGAUGUUGAGGGCAGUCCGACCAUCUUCCUCCAACACUGGGUCGUCUCCUGCUGGUUGUACUAGCUCCAACAGCUUAGGUUCAGAGUCCAAAGAGGAAUCACUCUCACAAACACGAUCACGAUGGCAGAUGAGUCGAACUGUGGUACCUGUGGAACUCACGGGCAACGACAAUCUUUCUAGCAUCAAAGAUAUCGACAGCGAUGGGUUCGAAGGGGUCUGAGAAUGCAGAUCACCCCAGCCAUGCCAACACCAUGUCAUUGAAUGAGGGUGACAAAUGCUGGGCUCCUCGUGUUGUUGGUGCUGGACAUGCUUCUCCCAGCUGUGAGCAGUCAUUUGCCUAUGCACCUUCCAAUUCUGACGAUGAAGACCGGAUGGUUCUUGAGGCUAUUGCAGCUUCUCUUCAUGAUGUAGACACAAAGGAAGCGGAGCAGAAGAGCAGGAAUGAAGCUGUACGGCAUGUGGUUACUGCAUCAACAAACAGCAGCAGACUUGAUACAUUUAGGCAGCGUUUGAGGUCAACUGUUUUUAGGGCUGCUCGUCGCAAUGACUCGAAAUGAACUUUAGUUAUGUCAUUCAUUCCAAUAGUUGCCUUUAUUAGCUCCUUAUGGCAUGUCAAGGUCACGUGUAUGCAGUCUCUUUUCUUUAUUAAGAAUUUUAUUGUGCAUAGAAAGGCAAAGAGUUGUGCCUCUUGUAAAGUAUGAAAAAAAGUGCUAAUUGUAUCUUUCUGUGAGCGUUUUGCCGAUCAAGAUUUGCUGAA